UACGUAGGGUGCAGGCGUUAAUCGGAAUUACUGGGCGUAAAGCGUGCGCAGGCGGUCUGCUAAGAGAGGUGUGAAAUCCCUGGGCUCAACCCAGGAACUGCGUCCGAUACUGGUUGGCUUGAAUCCGGGAGAGGGAUGUGGAAUUCCAGGUGUAGCGGUGAAAUGCGUAGAUAUCUGGAGGAACACCGGUGGCGAAGGCGGCAUCCUGGACCGGUAUUGACGCUGAGGCGCGAAAGCCAGGGGAGCAAACGGG
rnacentral:rRNA from 1 species